rnacentral:rRNA from 1 species
UACGUAGGGUGCGAGCGUGUCCGGAAUUAUUGGGCGUGAAAGAGCUUGUAGGCGGUCUGUCGCGUCUGCUGUGAAAUCCGGGGCUCAACCCCGGACUUGCAGUGGGUACGGGCAGACUAGAGUGUGGUAGGGGAGACUGGAAUUCCUGGUGUAGCGGUGAAAUGCGCAGAGUAUCAGGAGGAACACCGAUGGCGGAAGGCAGGUCUCUGG